rnacentral:rRNA from 1 species
GACGAACGCUGGCGGCGUGCUUAACACAUGCAAGUCGAACGAAGUGGCGAACGGGUGAGUAACGCGUAAUCAACCUGCCCAUCAGAGGGGGACAACAGUUGGAAACGACUGCUAAUACCGCAUACUGAAGGAGGGGAUUGUGUCUGACUGGCUCGUUGGGGGGGAAACGGCCCACCAAGGCGAUGAUCAGUAGCCGGUCUGGGAGGAUGGACUGCCACAUUGGGACUGAGACACGGCCCAGACUCCUACGGGAGGCAGCAGUGGGGAAUCUGCCGCAAUGGACGAAAAUCUGACGGAGCAACGCCGCGUGAGUGAUGACGGCCUUCGGGUUGUAAAGCUCUGUUAAUCGGGACGCGGUACCGGAAUAGAAAGCCACGGCUAACUCCGUGCCAGCAGCCGCGGUAAUUC